rnacentral:rRNA from 1 species
UACAGAGGUCUCAAGCGUUGUUCGGAUUUAUUGGGCGUAAAGCGUGCGUAGGCGGCGGGGCAAGUGAGGUGUGAAAUCCCAGGGCUUAACCCUGGAACUGCACUUUAUACUGCCUUGCUCGAGGGCUGGAGAGGAGACUGGAAUUUACGGUGUAGCAGUGAAAUGCGUAGAGAUCGUAAGGAAGACCAGUGGCGAAGGCGAGUCUCUGGAAAGCUGCUGACGCUGAGGCACGAAGGCCAGGGGAGCAAACGGG